AUAUUGGGCAAUGGACGGAAGUCUGACCCAGCCAUGCCGCGUGCAGGAAGACGGCCUUCUGGGUUGUAAACUGCUUUUAUACGGGAAUAAACCUACCCUCGAGAGGGUAGCUGAAUGUACCGUAAGAAUAAGGAUCGGCUAACUCCGUGCCAGCAGCCGCGGUAAUACGGAGGAUCCAAGCGUUAUCCGGAUUUAUUGGGUUUAAAGGGAGCGUAGGCGGCCUAUUAAGUCAGGGGUGAAAGACGGCAGCUUAACUGUCGCAGUGCCUUUGAUACUGAUAGGCUUGAAUGUAGUUGAGGUGGGCGGAAUGUGACAAGUAGCGGUGAAAUGCAUAGAUAUGUCACAGAACACCGAUUGCGAAGGCAGCUCACUAAGCUAUGAUUGACGCUGAGGCUCGAAAGCGUGGGGAUCAAACAGG
rnacentral:rRNA from 1 species